UAAAGAUUAGUCAGGUGGUAUGGCGACGGAUUUUGAUUUCAUUCUACAUAGGUUCAAUUCCUAUCUCUUUAA
rnacentral:tRNA from 1 species